rnacentral:rRNA from 1 species
AACGUAGGACACAAGCGUUAUCCGGAGUUACUGGGCGUAAAGAGCGCGUAGGCGGUUUGUUAAGUCUGCUAUGAAAGCACCUGGCUAAACUGGGUGAGGCUGGCGGAUACUGGCAAGCUAGAGUGAGACAGAGGCAGAUGGAAUUCCGCGUGUAGUGGUGAAAUGCGUAGAGAUGCGGAGGAACACCAGUGGCGAAGGCGGUCUGCUGGGUCUCAACUGACGCUGAGGCGCGAAAGCGUGGGUAGCGAACGGG